AUAUUAUUUUGGCAGAUUAGUGUUUUAAAUUUAGAAUUUAAGUAUGUGAUAUAAAUUCACAGAUAAUAC
rnacentral:tRNA from 1 species